UGCCGAACCCGGGAGGGCUCCAACCACCUAACUUUCGGUUAAAAGCCGAACGCGAUAUCCGAUUGCGACACGUUGGC